AUUGAACGCUGGCGGCAGGCCUAACACAUGCAAGUCGAACGAGUGGCGGACGGGUGAGUAAUGUCUGGGAAACUGCCUGAUGGAGGGGGAUAACUCCUGGAAAAGGUAGCUAAUACCGCAUACCAUCGGAUGUGCCCAGAUGGGGUUAGCUAGUAGGUGGGGUAAAGGAUCACAUAGGCGACGAUACCUAGCUGGUCUGAGAGGAGGAACAGCACCACUGGAACGGAGACACGGUCCAGACUCCUACGUUGUGCAGCAGUGGGGAAUAUUGCACAAUGGGCGCAAGCCUGAUGCAGCCAUGCCGCGUGUAUGAAGAAGGCCUUCGGGUUGUAAAGUACUUGCAGCGGGGAGGCGUUACCCGCAGAAGAAGCACCGGCUAACUCCGUGCCAGCAGCCGCGUAAUUC
rnacentral:rRNA from 1 species